UACAGAGGGUGCGAGCGUUGUUCGGAAUUAUUGGGCGUAAAGGGCGCGUAGGCGGGCGGCCAAGUUCGGGGUGAAAUCCUCCGGCUCAACCGGAGAACGGCCCCGGAUACUGGCCGUCUGGAGGGGGGUAGGGGCGUGCGGAACUGUGGGUGGAGCGGUGAAAUGCGUUGAUAUCCACAGGAACUCCGGUGGCGAAGGCGGCACGCUGGACCCCACCUGACGCUGAGGCGCGAAAGCCAGGGGAGCAAACGGG
rnacentral:rRNA from 1 species